rnacentral:rRNA from 1 species
AUGGUCGGAGUUGUAGCGCCUCCAAUUCCGGCUCCAUCUCCACCCUUACAGAUGGUUUACGUCUUAACUGUCUACAACAAAAGGGAUAAGCAGCACUGCAUCCGGAUCCAUGUGCACUGUGAAAUUCCAGAUGGUAUCAGUGUGCCCACAGAACUCCAGAGUGUUGAUGAUUACCCAGACAACCAGUUCACAUUCAGUGUCAAGCACUUGGCUCCAAUAUCACUGACAUGCCUUAUGCCUCCAUCAUACCUGAGCCAUCAUCCUCCAUACUUCUUUCUCGGUGUACAGUGGUUGGAUACUGUGAAGGUCUCAACCCUUUGUCACAUGCUUGAAUCGAUUUGGGCACAUCAGUCUGCACAGGAAGUUUUUUUGAGUGGGUGCAGGGCUUUACGCUCUCUCAUCUUGGUUUUGAUGGCGGGAUAA